CAGCAAUGAGAAAUCCUUGUCAGUCAAUGCCCUUUAGGGGUUAAACCUAAAGCAGGGAUAAUGAUCGGCCAAACUCUAGCAAAUCAGUCAGUUCUCUCCCUUCUUGACAAUCUGACACCACUCUGGCUUCAGCCGGGUAACCUGCCCAGUACCAGUGAAACCCACGCGUUAUCCUUGGUUGUCCUUGCAAUACACCAGCCAUCAAACUGUCCCCCAGUCAGAGAGGCUAAGAUGAAGCAUAAUUGGGAAUCGUGUGGUCAGGUAAAAGUCACUACCCCGCUGUGGAAUCUUGGGCAAGUCACUUUAUCUUCCUG
rnacentral:lncRNA from 1 species